UUACCGCGGCUGCUGGCACGGAGUUAGCCGAUGCUUAUUCCUAUACUACCGGCAAACACCUACACGUAGAUGUAGUUCUUGGUAUAGAAAAGCAGUUUACAACCCAUAGGGCCGUCAAUCCUGCACGCGGGAUGGCUGCGUCAGAGUUUCCUCCAUUGCGCAAUAUUCCUCACUGCUGCCUCCCGUAGGAGUCUGGUCCGUGUCUCAGUACCAGUGUGGGGGAUCAUCCUCUCAGACCCCCUAGACAUCGUCGCCUUGGUGAGCCGUUACCUCACCAACUAGCUAAUGUCACGCAUGCCCAUCUAUAACCGCCGGAACUUUGAUUCAUUGAUGAUGCCAUCUGUGAAUGUCAUCAAGUAUUAAUUCCCGUUUCCGGGAGCUAUCCUUGUGUUAUAGGUAGGUUACAUACGCGUUACUCACCCGUGCGCCGGUCGUGUAUUCUCCGAAGAGAACCUUACCCCUCGACUUGCAUGUGUUAAGCCUCCCGCUAGCGUUCAUCCUGAGCCAUGAUCAAACUC
rnacentral:rRNA from 1 species